GACGAACGCUGGCGGCGCGCCUAACACAUGCAAGUCGAACGGAGCUGAGAGAAGCUUGCUUUUCUUAGCUUAGUGGCGAACGGGUGAGUAACGCGUGAGUAACCUGCCCUGGAGUGGGGGACAACAGUUGGAAACGACUGCUAAUACCGCAUAAGCCCACGAUCCGGCAUCGGAUUGAGGGAAAAGGAUUUAUUCGCUUCAGGAUGGACUCGCGUCCAAUUAGCUAGUUGGUGAGGUAACGGCCCACCAAGGCGACGAUUGGUAGCCGGACUGAGAGGGUGAAAGGGCAAAUUGGGAAUGAGGCACGGGCCAGGAUCCCACGGGGGGGAGGAGUGGGGGAUAAUGGACAAAGGGGGAAACCCUGAUGCAGCGACGCCGCGUGGAGGAAGAAGGUUUUCGGAUUGUAAACUCCUGUCGUUAGGGACGAUAAUGACGGUACCUAACAAGAAAGCACCGGCUAACUACGU
rnacentral:rRNA from 1 species